rnacentral:rRNA from 1 species
GACGAACGCUGGUGGCGUGCUUAACACAUGCAAGUCGAACGGGAAGUUCAGUUCUUGCACUGGUACUCGAGUGGCGAACGGGUGAUUAACACGUGGGUUAUCUGCCUUGGACGCUGGGAUAUGCUUGUGAAACUGGGUCUAAUACCGGAUAUGAACUGUCGCUAGAGGGUGGGUUGGAAAGGGUUUUCGGUGCAGGAUGAGCUCGCGGCCUAUCAGCUUGUUGGUGGGGUAAUGGCCUACCAAGGCGUCGGCGGGUAGCCGGCCUGAGAGGGUGUACGGCCACAUUGGGACUGAGCUACGGCACAGACUCCUACGGGAGGCAGCAGUGGGGAAUAUUGCACAAUGGGCGGAAGCCUGAUGCAGCGACGCCGCGUGGGGGAUGACGGCCUUCGGGUUGUAAACUACUUUCGACAGGGACGAAGCGUAAGUGACGGUACCUGUAGAAGAAGCACCGGCUAACUCCGUG